UACGUAGGGUGCAAGCGUUGUCCGGAAUUAUUGGGCGUAAAGAGCUCGUAGGCGGUCCAUCGCGUCGGGAGUGAAAAGCUGGGGCUUAACCCCAGUCCUGCUUCCGAUACGGGUGGACUAGAGGUAGGUAGGGGAGAACGGAAUUCCUGGUGUAGCGGUGAAAUGCGCAGAUAUCAGGAGGAACACCGGUGGCGAAGGCGGUUCUCUGGGCCUUACCUGACGCUGAGGAGCGAAAGCAUGGGGAGCAAACAGG
rnacentral:rRNA from 1 species